AGCGAAGGGUGAUAAGUAGUAUAAAUUAAUAGAAUUUUAGUAAAUUAUUAAAUCUUUAAACGCACAUUACGCCCCUUAGUAUUCUAUAGGGUAUACCUAUUUAAGCGAUAUUUAUACCUUUAAGCUCUACUUAGUAUUAGGUAUUUAUCUCGCUUUAUACGUAAACUCGCCUUAAAGAUAUUAGUAGCUAGUAUUAUAGCCUAGAGCGUAGUAUAAUUUACGCCUCUUAUUAUAAGUAUUAGUAUCUAUAAAGCUUAUAAUUUAACUCUUAACCUUAGAUUAGGUAGGGAUACCCGCUAAACUUAA
rnacentral:rRNA from 1 species